UACAGAGGUUUCAAGCGUUGUUCGGAAUCACUGGGCGUAAAGGGCGUGUAGGCUGCGUGUUAAGUCAGAUGUGAAAUCCCGGGGCUCAACCUCGGAACUGCAUCCGAUACUGGCAUGCUAGAGAAUUGGAGAGGAGUCUAGAAUUCACGGUGUAGCAGUGAAAUGCGUAGAUAUCGUGAGGAAUACCAAGUGCGAAGGCAGGGCUCUGGACAUUUUCUGACGCUGAGACACGAAGGCUAGGGGAGCAAACGGG
rnacentral:rRNA from 1 species